rnacentral:rRNA from 1 species
GUCUAUGGCCAUGCUACUCCGAACAAGCCCGAUCUCGUCUGAUCUUGGAAGCUAAGCAGGAUUGGGCCUGGAUAGUAGUACUUGGAUGGGAGACCACCUAGGAAGACCAGGUGCUGUAGGCA